rnacentral:rRNA from 1 species
GACGAACGCUGGCGGCGUGCCUAAUACAUGCAAGUAGAACGCUGAAGGAGGAGCUUGCUUCUCUGGAUGAGUUGCGAACGGGUGAGUAACGCGUAGGUAACCUGCCUUGUAGCGGGGGAUAACUAUUGGAAACGAUAGCUAAUACCGCAUAAUAGUAGAUGUUGCAUGACAUUUGCUUAAAAGGUGCAAUUGCAUCACUACCAGAUGGACCUGCGUUGUAUUAGCUAGUUGGUGGGGUAACGGCUCACCAAGGCGACGAUACAUAGCCGACCUGAGAGGGGGAUCGGCCACACUGGGACUGAGACACGGCCCAGACUCCUACGGGAGGCAGCAGUAGGGAAUCUUCGGCAAUGGAUGGAAGUCUGACCGAGCAACGCCGCGUGAGUGAAGAAGGUUUUCGGAUCGUAAAGCUCUGUUGUAAGAGAAGAACGAGUGUGAGAGUGGAAAGUUCACACUGUGACGGUAUCUUACCAGAAAGGGACGGCUAACUACGUG